rnacentral:lncRNA from 1 species
UUAUAUACAUAAUCUAUACCAACAAGCCACUAGAAAUUUGGAUGUAUAAAACAACAGACACAUUUAACACCUUGGGAGUCCAGGUGAGGUUUAUUGAAGUCCUCUGCCAGGCUGCAAUCAAAGUGUGGGCCUGAGCCGAGUUCUCAACUGGAGGCUUCACUGGGGAAAGCUGUGCUUCCAAACUCACUCAAGUGUUGCCAGAAUUCAAUUCCUUGUGACUGUAAGUUUGGGAACUCUAGCUCUUGUUGGGUGGAAGCUGGAAGCUGUCCUCAGCACCUAGUCGUAGGCCUGGGCUUCCUGCCACACGGGCCUCCUGACAUGGUCACUUAUUAUACUUCUUCAAAGCCAGCAAGGGAGACAGUGUCUAGAGGCAGUCAUCUAGCAAGAUGGAGACUUACAACAUGAGGCACAUACAAGAGUGACCUCCCAUCGUCUUUGAGGCAUUCUAUUUCUUGUGUCUUUGUGAAGCUUCCUAUCUUUGCUUUUCAACUAAGAUGAAACAGCAUUUAAAAGAAAAUGCCAUGUGAGAUGAGAUCAGGAGAAUGGAUUCUUUCUUUCAUCUGAAUAGAGAGCUGCUGUUCGAGAUUCAGAGUGUCAUGUGAAUGUUCGUUUCAUGGAUGUAUUGUGUACUGGUGAGAUAUGGGCUUAUGGUAUACGCAUUUCCUAAAUUGUGAAUAUUGUUCCCAAUAGGUAAUUUUCAAACCUUGCCCUCCUCCCUUUUGGAGUCCCCAGUGUCUAUUAUUUUCAUUUUUAUGUCCAUGUGUAUCCAUUGCUUCAAGUUCCCACUUAUAAGCGAGAACAUGCAGUAUUUCACUUUCUGUUUUUGAAUCAGUUCACUUAGGAUCAUGGCUUCCAGCUCUACCCAUGUUGCUGCAAAGGACAUGAUUACAUUCUUUUUUAUGGCUGUGUAGUAUUCCUCAGUGUAUAUAUACACCACAUUUCUUUUAUCCAGUUAACCAUUGAUGGCUAUUUAGGUUGGUUCUGUGACUCUUUUCUUGUGAAUAGUGCUGUAGUGAACAUACAUGUACAGGUAUCUUUUUUUUUUGAGAUGGAGUCUCUCUCUGU